AGAACAUCAAAAGGAGUUGCACGAUCCUUUGGUAAAGAUUCUCCAACAGACCACUGGCAUAGCAUUAUUGAAUCCCUCAGCAUAUUGUUGUGUACACUGAAAGAGAAUUUUGUCAGAAACUUAUUAUUUUAUAAACACUAAGCAGUUAUUUUCGUUGUUGCCUUGUUUAUGCUAUUUUCACACCACCACCACCACCAUCUUUUGGGUUUUUGGUGCCUCCAGUACUUAACCAAAAGAUCUUUACUCAAACAUUCCAAUAUAUUAAUGUACAGCUCUUCAACAGUCUUCUACAUCGCGAUUGUUGCACAUUCAGCAAUGAAGAAUGUAUUAAAGCUGGAUUAGGAGAACUGGAGCUGUGGUGCUACCAAGCAAAGGAAGAGUAUGCAGGACCAUCUUGGGAUGAACUUAAGCACACAAGACAGGCUGUUGGAUUCUAGGUAAGUGUGCCUUUGUCUCUUUGAUGAUGCGGCGUCAUAUUGGUAAUAGGAUGAACACUAUUAAAGCAGAGGACAGAAGGCAUCCACUUCUCUUGCAUCAUGGGUGUCUCAAACAUGAUGAUAUUUGUACUCCGAUAGGAACUUUUGGGAGAAUCACAUCCCAAAGGAUAGCUCAGGACUUUGGAGAGUCCAAAAUCAUUAUAAACGUUACUUUAAAAUACUUUCUGAUUUGGAAUUUACGUCCCAUGCCUUGCAGCAUUCCACCAUGCUCUAUAGUCCCACCACCUCGGUGGGUUGCUUUUGUGCAAGCUUCUUGGCCCUGGCUAACACUCGCCACUAAUUAAUACCACACAAGUACAACUAAGUAUAGUGGAAGGUUCUAAUACCAAUUGAUAGGAACUUCAGGGAAAAUCACACUCUAGAAGCUAACCCGUUAGAUUGGAUAGCCCAAAGUCAUUAUAAACUCUAUUAAAAUUCUGUUCU